rnacentral:lncRNA from 1 species
CGGAAAUUCAUCACUUCCUUGUGAGUAAGAUGCAGCCAUAGAAUGCUGCUUUGACAUGUCAGGAUUCAGGUAAGCAUAGACUACGCUUGAUCUGAGCCAAGAAGAGGAUAGUAACAACUCUGCAGCCUGGAUCUGAAGAAGCCGUGUCAAUAGCAGUGUCGACUGGGCAGCAUGGGAGAGCUCAGCUAGCAGCAAAGAGUGAGGUUGUGUGUCCAUCUACAUCAAAGAUAAAAGUCUUUGCAUUCAUGUCAAAGGUACAGCUUACAAAUGAGCACUUAAAGCACAG